rnacentral:rRNA from 1 species
AUUGAACGCUGGCGGCAUGCUUUACACAUGCAAGUCGGACGGCAGCGCGGGCUUCGGCCUGGCGGCGAGUGGCGAACGGGUGAGUAAUACAUCGGAACGUGCCCAGUAGUGGGGGAUAGCUCGUCGAAAGCCGGAUUAAUACCGCAUACGACCUGAGGGUGAAAGCGGGGGAUCUUUGGACCUCGCGCUAUUGGAGCGGCCGAUGGCAGAUUAGCUAGUUGGUGGGGUAAAGGCCUACCAAGGCGACGAUCUGUAGCUGGUCUGAGAGGAGGACCAGCCACACUGGGACUGGGCCACGGCCCAGACUCCUACGGGAGGCAGCAGUGGGGAAUUUUGGACAAUGGGCGAAAGCCUGAUCCAGCAAUGCCGCGUGUGUGAUGAAGGCCUUCGGGUUGUAAAGCACUUUUGGCGGGAACGAAAAGGACUGUGCCAAUACCACGGUUCGAUGACGGUACCCGCAGAAUAAGCACCGGCUAACUACGUG